GUGUGGCCACCCGAGCGGCCCCGCUGGCGAUGGCGCUCCUGGCGGACCAGAUUGGUCUCUAACGGAGGACGGGGAUCCCGGGGUCCCCCGAGGCCCGAGCAAGGACGCGCUACCCUGGCCGAGCGGGCGAUGAUCGAGGCCGGCAGCCAGAGGGCACGUCGAGUGGCAAGAUCUAAGAGAGAGCUGGCCAGACCCCACGGAGGAGCCAGGACACGGCUGUGACAUACGGGCGGGAGCGCACGCAGUCCUGGCCCCGCGAGGCAGUGAGUCCCGGCCCAGGACGGCCCCCCGCAGGACGGACGGCCGGCCGCCCCGGUCCCGGUCCCGGUCCCGGCCCCGGCCCCGGCCCCGGCCCCGGCGCUAUGGCCCCGAGGCCCGGCCAGGAGAAGCGGCGACCGUCCCAGGGGCCCUCUGAGGGGCCCUCGUGGCUGUGAAGCUUUUCCCGGGUCCGUUCUCGGGGGUGGGGCCAUGGCGGGGGCCGAGCCCGUCCCCCACCCGGCCCCGAACACCUCGGGACCCCGAGGCCCGGAAACCUGCCCCCGCGCCGUCCCCGAGGUGGCGGUCCUCGCCGCGCCCCGGUGAGGCCCCGAGCAGCCAGGAAGCCCCG